rnacentral:SRP_RNA from 10 species
ACUGUUAGCAGCGCAGGAUUGAGGAGUUGGAAGAGACCUUUAGAACAGCUGGUCCUUAUGCCGACUGGGUGCCUGCACUAAGUUCGGCAUCAAUAUGGUGACUUCCUGGGAGUGGGGUCCACCAAGUUGCCUAAGGAUGGCUGAACUGGCCCAGGUCAGAAAUGGAGCAGGUCAGAACUCCAGCACUGACCGGUAGUGGGACUGUGCCUGGGCAGUAUAGCAAGAUCUUUGUCGU